UACGUAGGCAGCGAGCGUUGUUCGGAGUUACUGGGCGUAAAGGGUGUGUAGGCGGUUUUUUAAGUUUGGUGUGAAAUCUCCCGGCUCAACCGGGAGGGUGCGCCGAAAACUGGGAGACUAGAGUGCGGGAUGGGAGAGUAGAAUUCCUGGUGUAGCGGUGAAAUGCGUAGAUAUCAGGAGGAAUACCGGUGGUGUAGACGGCUCUCGGGACCGCCACUGACGCUGAGACACGAAAGCGUGGGUAGCAAACAGG
rnacentral:rRNA from 1 species